rnacentral:rRNA from 1 species
ACCCUCAAGGGCAUCACAGCAGUGACAAAAAUUAAGCAAAUAAGCGCAAGCUUGACUUAGCUAUAGUAAAGAGGGUUGGUCAAUCUUGUGCCAGCCACCGCGGUUACACAAGAAACCCAAACCAACAGAAAACCGGCGUAAAAUGUGACUAAAACAACUAUCUAAAAAAUUAAGGAGAACCAUAUACUCAACUGUCAUACGUAAAAGUAUAUAAUUACCCCAAUAUGAAAAUAUCCCUAAAUACAACAGAACUAUUCGAACCCACGAUAGCUAAGACACAAACUGGGAUUAGAUACCCCACUAUGCUUAGCCAUAAACCCAGAUAUUUUACACACAAAAAUAUCCGCCAGAGAACUACGAGCAAAACGCUUAAAACUCUAAGGACUUGGCGGUGCCUCAAACCCCCCUAGAGGAGCCUGUUCUAUAAUCGAUAAUCCACGAUUUACCCUACCAUCUCUUGCCAAUACCGCCUAUAUACCACCGUCAUUAGCCUACCCUAUGAAGGAUAUAAGAGUAAGCAAAAUAGCUAACAACAGCUAACAAGUCAGGUCAAGGUGUAGCUAAUUGAGAUGGAAGAAAUGGGCUACAUUUUCUAAAUUAGAAAUAAUCUCACGGAAAGAACUAUGAAACAAGUCCUAUAAGCAGGAUUUAGCAGUAAACAGGGAUCAGAAUGCCCAACUUAAGUCGGUCCUAAGGCACGCACACA